GACAGAGGAUGCAAGCGUUAUCCGGAAUGAUUGGGCGUAAAGCGUCUGUAGGUGGCUUUUUAAGUCCGCCGUCAAAUCCCAGGGCUCAACCCUGGACAGGCGGUGGAAACUACCAAGCUGGAGUACGGUAGGGGCAGAGGGAAUUUCCGGUGGAGCGGUGAAAUGCGUAGAGAUCGGAAAGAACACCAAGCGGCAGAAGCACUCUGCUGGGCCGACAUCUGACACUGAGAGACGAAAGGCUAGGGGAGCGAAGUGGGAU
rnacentral:rRNA from 1 species